AUACCUUUCUCGGUCUUUUGGCUAAAAUCAAGUGUUAUAUCUGCUCUUAUCAGUUUAAUAUCUAAUACAUGGACCAAUGGCUCACACGAUAUUAAAUUUAUAUUUUGAGGGGUAGAGUCCAUCACAGUAGCAUGCUGCUGGGGCUCUCGAGUGUCGCCUUGGUGUUCACUACUAUCUUGACCAGGCGCACCCCAC